rnacentral:rRNA from 1 species
CCUACGGGAGGCAGCAGUGGGGAAUAUUGCACAAUGGGCGAAAGCCUGACGCAGCGACGCCGCGUGAGGGAUGAAGGUCUUCGGAUCGUAAACCUCUGUCAGCAGGGAAGAACGGUCACUGUGCUAAUCAGCAGUGAAUUGACGGUACCUGCAAAGGAAGCACCGGCUAACUCCGUGCCAGCAGCCGCGGUAAUACGGAGGGUGCGAGCGUUAAUCGGAAUUACUGGGCGUAAAGCGCUCGUAGGCGGUAUGUCAAGUCAAGGGUGAAAUCCCCGCGCUCAACGUGGGAACUGCCUUUGAAACUGGCAGACUGGAGUGUGUGAGAGGAUAGUGGAAUUCCAGGUGUAGGAGUGAAAUCCGUAGAGAUCUGAAGGAACAUCAGUGGCGAAGGCGACUAUCUGGCACAUAACUGACGCUGAGGAGCGAAAGCGUGGGUAGCAAACAGGAUUAGAUACCCUAGUAGUC